UUACAAGUUUCUCUUUGUGGAGAGAAAUAACAACACUGAAGUGGAAGUGUUUCUUGUGAAAUGCUGAGAUGCCUAAAUUGUCAGAAGAUUGGAGAAAAGUACCUGAAGGACUACAGGAAGGAGUAAUUGUAGCAUAUAAUUGAUUACCCAGAGGAUGAGGAACCAACACCUCUGAAGAACCAGUGUCUGAAGCAGUGUCUGGAUCUGGUAAAACACUGCACAAACUGAGUUCUGGAAGAUUUUCUUUGCUGAAGUCCAAGUACCUUGUGGUCUUCAGGGAUGUUCAUCUUAGCUGCUUCCUGCCUGCUCUAAAGCUUUAGAGAUGCUGCUUCUUACAGGAAUGCCCUCACUGACAGAGGAGCAAGUUCAAAGUGUGCUGCUCGACUAGCCCAGAAAAGAAGAGACAUGUCACUGAAUGUGUGCUUUGUUCAGCUUUGAAUUGCAUCUGGGAAAUUAAAGACAUUCAAACUUGAAAGGAAUUGCAGUGCAAAUGAAUUAGCAUCAAGACUUAUUUGCAUCUAGAUACAUAUUCUGAUUGCAUCUUUUAUAGUUCUCUAUCAACAAAACCAGGAGAAGCAGCUAAGGUGUAUAUGUCUAGAUUAAAGAUACAGCAUCAGGAGAAAUACAAUCAGCAGAUCCUGGGAAAUUACUGCUAUUAUUUCCAACUACUUGGCAAUAGAACACUGAAUCCUGUUCAAGAGGGAUGGGGAGAGGGGACAUGAGAAGGAUCCAGAAAGGUGCUACC